CUAACAUGUACGGACGGGAGACGAUGAACGCUGCACUUCACCAAGAUAGACACCAGCAAACUCAGAUCGACGACGACGAUGAUGACGACGUCGUCGCUGCUGUCGGUGGCGGUGGCAGUGGUGGGGGAGGAAUAGAGUCUAUGGACAACCCUACUCCUCACAUUCGCUACGACCAACAUCAUCACUCUCAUUCUCACGCGCUUCACAACGGCGGCGCCGGCGGUUCUAUGGAGAUGAAUGGUGUGGAAGGUGUUUCUCAUAACGCCUUGUAUGGUCCUCCUUCCGAAAUUGUUCCUACUGCUGGUAGUGGAGCUUCCGAUCAGCUUACGCUGUCGUUUCAAGGCGAAGUGUACGUUUUUGAUGCCGUUUCACCUGAAAAGGUUCAGGCGGUGCUGUUACUGUUGGGGGGAUACGAAGUCCCUCCUGGUAUCCCUGCUGUAAAUGUGGUUCCCCAAAGUCAGAGGGCUUCAGGUGACUUUCCUGGAAGAUUAAAUCAACCGGAAAGAGCUGCUUCUUUAAAUCGUUUUAGGGAAAAGAGGAAAGAACGGUGUUUUGAUAAAAAGAUCCGCUAUACUGUGCGGAAGGAAGUUGCGAUGAGGAUGCAGCGCAAGAAAGGUCAGUUUACAUCUGCCAAGUCAAUACCUGACGAAGUAGGUUCUUCUGCAGAUUGGAAUGAAGGCUCUGGUCAAGAAGAGCAGGAAACAUCAUGUAGACAUUGCAAUAUUAGUUCGAAAUCCACUCCUAUGAUGCGUCGGGGACCAGCUGGCCCAAGGUCUCUUUGUAAUGCAUGUGGACUCAAGUGGGCCAAUAAGGGAAUUUUAAGAGAUCUUUCUAAAGUUCCAGCUCCUGGAACUCAGGACCAAACUGCGAAACCUGGUGAACAGAGCCAUGGUGAACCUAAUGGCUCGGAUGACAUGGCUGCUAUCAUCACUCCGGAUGACAACAACCCAGUGGGGUGACCGCUUGAACUGUGAGGGAGAAUCCUUCUCUGCAAUUAUUGUGGUGGCAGUUGAUGUUGAAGUGAGAUGAAUAAUUGAAAUUCAUCUGUUGUACUAUCCGCCAAAAUUAGAUUGUAAAUAGUAAAAUAUUGUACUCUUAGGCAUCCGACAUUGUUUCUCGGAGUUUUAGUGUUUUAUUCUGGUGUUCAAAUGUAUAAUUGAAAUCUGAAACUUGUCCCACGAAUCGAUACAUGCAGGCUUAAAAGUAUCUUUAAAUAGUUUUUGUUUGCU
rnacentral:misc_RNA from 1 species